rnacentral:rRNA from 1 species
ACUACCUUAGGACGGGAUAACUUGGGAAACUGAGGAUAAUACCGGAUAGGCAAUUAUUCCUGCAAUGGUUUUUUGUUUAAAUGUUUUUUCGCCUAAGGAUGGGUCUGCGGCCGAUUAGGUAGUUGGUUAGGUAAUGGCUUACCAAGCCGUUGAUCGGUACGGGUUGUGAGAGCAAGAGCCCGGAGAUGGAACCUGAGACAAGGUUCCAGGCCCUACGGGGUGCAGCAGGCGCGAAACCUCCGCAAUGUGAGAAAUCGCGACGGGGGGAUCCCAAGUGCCAUUCUUAACGGGAUGGCUUUUCAUUAGUGUAAAGAGCUUUUGGAAUAAGAGCUGGGCAAGACCGGUGCCAGCCGCCGCGGUAACACCGGCAGCUCUAGUGGUAACAAUUUUUAUUGGGCCUAAAGCGUCCGUAGCCGGUUUAAUAAGUCUCUGGUGAAAUCCUGUAGCUUAACUGUGGGAAUUGCUGGAGAUACUAUUAGACUUGAGACCGGGAGAGGUUAGAGGUACUCCCACCGUAGAGGUGAAAUUCUGUAAUCCUG